rnacentral:tRNA from 1 species
GCCUGGCUGGCUCAGUUGGUAAAGCAUGAGACUCUUGAUCUCAGAGUUGUGAGUUUGAGCCCCAGGUUGGGUG